AUUGAACGCUGGCGGCGUGCUUAACACAUGCAAGUCGAUCGGUAACAGGUGUAGCAAUACAUGCUGACGAGAGGCGGACGGGUGAGUAAUGCUUGGGAAUCUGCCUAUUAGUGGGGGACAACCCGGGAAACGUCGGGCUAAUACCGCAUACGCUCUACGGAGGAAAGCCGGGGACCGGCAAGGCCUGGCGCUAAUAGAUGAGCCCAAGUCGGAUUAGCUAGUUGGUAGGGUAACGGCCUACCAAGGCGACAAUCCGUAGCUGGUCUGAGAGGACGACCAGCCACACCGGAACUGAGACACGGUCCGGACUCCUACGGGAGGCAGCAGUGGGGAAUAUUGGACAAUGGGGGCAACCCUGAUCCAGCGACGCCGCGUGGGUGAAGAAGGCC
rnacentral:rRNA from 1 species